rnacentral:rRNA from 1 species
UACGAAGGGGGCUAGCGUUGCUCGGAAUGACUGGGCGUAAAGGGCGCGUAGGCGGAUCCCGCCGUCGGGCGUGAAAUCCCCGGGCUCAACCCGGGGCGGUCGCCCGAGACUCGGGGUCUGGAGUGGGGGAGAGGGUCGCGGAAUUCCCAGUGUAGAGGUGAAAUUCGUAGAUAUUGGGAAGAACACCGGUGGCGAAGGCGGCGACCUGGCCCUUGACUGACGCUGAGGCGCGACAGCGUGGGGAGCAAACAGG